GGUAUAGUAGCAAUACUAGAGACCGGCGCACGGGUGCGUAACGCGUAUGCAAUCUGCCUUUCACAGAGGGAUAGCCCAGAGAAAUUUGGAUUAAUACCUCAUAGUAUAGUACAACCGCAUGGUUGAACUAUUAAAGUCACAACGGUGAAAGAUGAGCAUGCGUCCCAUUAGCUAGUUGGUAAGGUAACGGCUUACCAAGGCUACGAUGGGUAGGGGUCCUGAGAGGGAGAUCCCCCACACUGGUACUGAGACACGGACCAGACUCCUACGGGAGGCAGCAGUGAGGAAUAUUGGUCAAUGGGCGCAAGCCUGAACCAGCCAUGCCGCGUGCAGGAUGACGGUCCUAUGGAUUGUAAACUGCUUUUGUACGGGAAGAAACAACUCUACGUGUAGAGUCUUGACGGUACCGUAAGAAUAAGGAUCGGCUAACUCCGUGCCAGCAGCCGCGGUAAUACGGAGGAUCCAAGCGUUAUCCGGAAUCAUUGGGUUUAAAGGGUCCGUAGGCGGUUUAGUAAGUCAGUGGUGAAAGCCCAUCGCUCAACGGUGGAACGGCCAUUGAUACUGCUAGACUUGAAUUAUUAGGAAGCAACUAGAAUAUGUAGUGUAGCGGUGAAAUGCUUAGAGAUUACAUGGAAUACCAAUUGCGAAGGCAGGUUGCUACUAAUGGAUUGACGCUGAUGGACGAAAGCGUGGGUAGCGAACAGGAUUAGAUACCCUGGUAGUCCACGCCGUAAACGAUGGAUACUAGCUGUUGGGAGCGAUCUCAGUGGCUAA
rnacentral:rRNA from 1 species